rnacentral:rRNA from 1 species
AUACGGAGGAUCCGAGCGUUAUCCGGAUUUAUUGGGUUUAAAGGGUGCGCAGGCGGCCAUUUAAGUCAGCGGUUAAAUCGUGGGGCUCAACCCCAUUCUGCCGUUGAUACUGGGUGGCUUGAUUGCGGUCGAGGUUGGCGGAAUUCGUUGUGUAGCGGGGAAAUGCAUAGAAAUGACGAAGAACACCGAUUGCGUAGGCAGCUGACCAGACUGCAAAUGACGCUCAUGCACGAAAGUGCGGGGAUCGAACAGGAUUAGAUACCCUGGUAGUCCGCACAGUAAACGAUGAAUACUUGUUUUCGGCGAUAUAAUGUCGGAGGCAAAGCGAAAGCGAUAAGUAUUCCACCUGGGGAGUACGCCGGCAACGGUGAAACUCAAAUGAAUUGACGGGG